GUCUCCAUUGGAACCAGUCCUUUCCACCUUCUCCUCCGCAAAAGGACAAACUCCGUGUCGCUAUUUGUCUUUCUCUCUUCUCUCGCUACCGCUACUCUCCAACUACAACCGAACUCUGAUUUGAUUUCCAUUCCGUCUGUAAUCCAACCAGUCAAUGGAUUGGGCAUUGCAAAGCCGAUUGAUGAAUCUCAUGGAAGACACAAAACUCGGCAAAGACCUCAACGAUUCUUCGUUCAAUUGGGAGCAUUACCUCGGCUCCGACCUCACCGAACUCAUCCUCUCCUACCUCCCCAUCCGCUGCAUCGUCCGCGCCGCCGCUGUCUGCAAGUUCUGGCAUUCCAUCAUCACGACCGCCUCCUUCGCCUCCCGCGUCUCCGCCGCGAAGAAGCCCUGGUUCUUUCUCUACGGCCAGAACAACAUCUUUUUCAAGAACAACCAGGCCUUCGCUUUCGAUCCCGAAGCGGAUGCCUGGCUUAGGCUCCCCACCGUUUGGCCCUCCUCCCACGAGCAGUCCUUCAUCGGCUGCGCCGGCUUCUUCUUCGCGACUACUUCUUCCAGGUUCAGCUACACGCCCAUCCUCAAAGGCGCCUGGCGAGAAACGUCGCCGCUUCGAUUCUCUCGGUGCAAUCCUCUCGUCGGCGUGUUCAAUCACGGAUCUGGAUUGCCUAGAUUCAUUGUCGUUGGCGGCGUUAGGUUCAUUGGUGGAUUGGUCGAUAUAGAGGACAGGUUGGCUGUUGAGAUCUACAACCCUAAUUCGGAUUCUUGGGAGCUUUGCCCGCCUUUACCAGCAGAUUUCAGGUCAGGGAACUCGUCUCAGUGGCUCUCCUCGGCCUUGUUCAACGGAAAGUUCUAUGUAUUUGGGAUUUAUUCUUGUUUUGUUUCGUCAUUUGAUUUAAAUAAGCACUUUUGGAGCGAGGUCCAGACUCUGCGGCCUCCAGGGGUGUUGUUUUCGUUCUUGGUUGCUUGUCAGGACCAGCUUGUUUUGGCUGGACUGUGCAAUGGCCCUCGUGGACCAUUGUUUAACUUGUGGAGGAUUGAUGAGGAAAGCAUGGAGUUCAGUGAGAUUGCAAUCAUGCCUCAGGACUUGCUUUAUUGUUUGUUUGAUAGCGAAGGGGAAGAUAAGUUUGCAAGUCUGAAAUGUGUUGGACUAGGUAACCUAAUAUAUGUGUUCAAUGAAGAGCAUCACAGGAACUACCCAGCUUGUGUUUGUGAAAUUAGCAGUGAUUCUGGUCAGUGCCGUUGGAGGAGGGUUCCCAAUUUGCCCGCCCCUGCAAAGAAGUUCCACAAGGUCAUCAGCUUUUGUUCAACUGUCUCGCUCGAUGAUAUUCUUAGAUCACAAGGAGAAGAACUUGGUUUGGAGGAGGCUGUUCAAUGAUAACCGCUUCUAUGCUUGAUAGAUGCACAAUUCUAUGGCCUGUGAUGAGUGAAUUCUGCUGAGAAGGUGCAGGGUGUGGGGUUGGAGACAUAUUUAGUUGUGUUGCGCAAAUAUGGAUCCCUUGCUUUUUCCCUGAAUAUGUUAUCAUAAUAUACAGAAGUUCAAAUUGCAAUAGAAAUAUUCUUGAGUAUCCCAUUCACGGAAUCAUGAAGGUCAUAUGAAAAGAAUAAGCAACUUGUAUUUCAGUACUAGUAAUGGCCAUGUAAAUCUUACUGGAAGCAGGUCCCUGGUCUUCUGCACAGCCCUUGAGCCUACUAGCCUUUGCUAUGCAGGAGGUAAUCAGUUCCAUUCUUUGACAGCUUUAUAAUUCUCACAAGGGUGACCAGGCUGCUAGUGUAUUUCAGGAUUAUCUAUGAACUCUCCUCUGUAUGCUUAUAAUUAAGAAUUCCUCUUUGUAUCAAUUGAACCUUUUUUUUUUUCUGGGUUUUUGUAUUCUUAUAUUAUGGUGAUGGUAAUCUUGGCUGUAAAUUUAUGCUCACAAUCAUGUAAUUGGAUAACCAGAUGUACCCAAGUGACCAUUUGGAAAGGUUACACUGACAAUUUGCUUAUAAUUCUUCCCCCUGGUCUUGUCAGGGGUUCUCUCU